rnacentral:rRNA from 1 species
CCCCUAGAUGUUCUGGGCCGCACGCGCGCUACACUGAACAGUUCAACAAGUCUUAACCUUGGCCGAUAGGUCUGGGUAAUCUUUGAACGCUGUUCGUGAUUGGGAUAGACCUUUGCAAUUAUGGGUCUUCAACGAGGAAUUCCUAGUAAACGCAAGUCAUCAGCUUGCAUUGAUUACGUCCCUGGCCUUUGUACACACCGCCCGUCGCACCUACCGAUUGAAUGGUCCGGUGAAAUCUCGGGACGGCGGCUUGGUCGCUUGCGUCCGACUGCUGAAACUUGAUUAAACCAUAUCAUUUAGAGGAAGGUGAAGUCGUAACA